UACGUAGGGUGCGAGCGUUGUCCGGAAUUAUUGGGCGUAAAGAGCUCGUAGGCGGUGUGUCACGUCGGCCGUGAAAACCUGCAGCUUAACUGUGGGCGUGCGGUCGAUACGGGCAUCACUGGAGUUCGGCAGGGGAGACUGGAAUUCCUGGUGUAGCGGUGAAAUGCGUAGAUAUCAAGAGGAACACCUGCGGCGAAGGCGGGUUGCUGGGCCGACACUGACGCUGAGGCGCGAAAGCUAGGGGAGCGAACGGG
rnacentral:rRNA from 1 species